UGAACACACCAGCAGCACAAUGAUGAUGUCACUGACUCUACUGCUGACCACCCUGGGGCUCCUUGUUCAGGGUUCAUCAGGAGAGACCAUCCUGACUCAGACUCCUGGAUCUCAGUCUGUUGUUGCAGAACAGACUGUCUCCAUCAAAUGUAAAACCAGUGUUAGCACCAGCUAUCUUCACUGGUAUCUUCAGAAACCAGGAGAAGCUCCUAAACUCCUGAUAUAUGCAGCUUCAAAUCGUCAGUCUGGAAUUCCGAGUCGUUUCAGUGGAAGUGGAUCUGGUUCUGACUUCACUCUGACCAUCAGUGGAGUUCAGGCUGAAGAUUCAGGAGUUUAUUACUGUCAGCAGAGUGGCAGCUUCCCGUUCACACAGUGA